CGGGGUGUGGCGCAGUUGGUAGCGUACUACGUUCGGGACGUAGGGGCCGGAAGUUCGAGUCUUCUCACCCCGA
rnacentral:tRNA from 2 species